rnacentral:tRNA from 1 species
GGCCGGUUGGAUGAGCGACUUAGUCAACGGUCUGCAAAACCGUCUAGAGCGGUUUGACUCCGCUACCGGCCU